rnacentral:lncRNA from 1 species
GGCAGAGCUGAAUGAACUCACAAACCACCUCUCUGCAGUAUGCUGUAAGUCUCAAGCCCACGGCCCCUAGAGAAGCCAGAAGAAGCAGGAAAAACACAAUUUAAGUGUUGGGGAAUCAAGCCCAAGGCUUUAUGAAUGCCAGACCUGAGGCAGUGAUCCAAUGAGUGACCAUGAGCUCUUAUGGAGGUGAUGAGAGCUGGUGCUGCCAGGCCACUGAGCCUUUGGACACUGGGAUAUCCUGGUCCAGGCCAGGUGGCUUACUACACACCUUCGGGGGCUGCUGGUGAAGACCCAGAUGCCUUU